UACGUAGGGGGCAAGCGUUGUCCGGAUUUAUUGGGCGUAAAGAGCGUGUAGGCGGCCUGUUGCGUCCGCUGUGAAAUCCCGGGGCUCAACCCCGGGCCUGCAGUGGAUACGGGCUGGCUAGAGGCAGGCAGGGGAGAACGGAAUUCCGUGGUGUAGCGGUGAAAUGCGCAGAUAUCAGGAGGAACACCGGUGGCGAAGGCGGUUCUCUGGGCCUGUACUGACGCUGAGGAGCGAAAGCGUGGGGAGCGAACAGG
rnacentral:rRNA from 1 species